CAAAGAACCGCAGAUGGCAGAUCUUGAUGUCUAUUUGUUGAAGAAGGUUGGACUCUUUCCGGAUAUUCUAGAAAGGAAAGCAUCACGCCACCUAGAAAAAGGAGAUCAUGUUUCCGCUCUUAUUACUGGAGAAUUCUAUACGAGAGAUCAAUUUCCUGGAUUUGGAAGACCG